CACCAAACAUGCAUUGUACAUCUGCUUCAAACGUUUUCCCAAAGCAAAGACUGUGGUCUUUAAAGAUAGGGAAUCAUGUCUCAUUUCUCUG